rnacentral:rRNA from 1 species
AACGAACGCUGGCGGCAGGCCUAACACAUGCAAGUCGAACGCUGUAGCAAUACAGAGUGGCAGACGGGUGAGUAACGCGUGGGAACAUGCCCUUCGGUUCGGAAUAACUCAGGGAAACUUGAGCUAAUACCGGAUACGCCCUUAGGGGGAAAGAUUUAUUGCCGAAGGAUUGGCCCGCGUCCGAUUAGCUAGUUGGUGAGGUAAUGGCUCACCAAGGCGACGAUCGGUAGCUGGUCUGAGAGGAUGAUCAGCCGCACUGGGACUGAGACACGGCCCAGACUCCUACGGGAGGCAGCAGUGGGGAAUAUUGGACAAUUGGCGCAAGCCUGAUCCAGCCAUGCCGCGUGAGUGAUGAAGGCCCUAGGGUUGUAAAGCUCUUUCGCCAGGGACGAUAAUGACGGUACCUGGAUAAGAAGCCCCGGCUAACUUCGUGCCAGCAGCCGCCGUAAUAC